rnacentral:sRNA from 1 species
AAAGACUAUAAAAGAGAUCUGGAGACUGAAAUUAAAGGGAAAGGGAUGCAGGUGAGCACAGACACUCUUGAUGUCCAGAGAGCUAAGAAAGCAUCCGAGAUGGCCAGCCAGAAGCAAUACAAGAAGGACUUAGAAAAUGAAAUUAAAGGGAAAGGAAUGCAAGUGAGCAUGGAUAUCCCGGAUAUCCUUCGAGCCAAGAGGACAUCUGAAAUCUAUAGCCAGGUUGGUCAAGAAUGAAGAUGCUCAGAAUCGUGUAUUCCAAUGUCAUGUUG